AUGGCCAGUGAGGCCGAGGAUGUCACCUGCCCUGUGUGCCAGGGGAUCCCAAAGGAGCCCAGCUACCUCAGCCCCUGUCAGCACCACUUCUGCUUCGGCUGCAUCAUGCGCUGGGCCAACAGAAAUGCCACCUGCCCCCUCUGCAGGCAGGACAUCACCUCCAUCCGAUACUCCAUCUGGUCGGAAGACGACUUUCUGGAGGUCCAGGUUGCCCGCCGCGCAGAGGCCCAAGAUGACAGCCCCCAGGACGAGCAGGGGGCUGCAGAGCUGGUGCCCCAGACUGCCGUGAGCGGCCUCCUGCCUGAGGAAUGGGCAGCCCUCUUCAGGGAACACCUGGAAAUCCUCGGUCCGCUGCGGCCCUGGGUACACCAGCAAGCCAGGGAGUUGUUCGGGGCUGCCUGGUGGGAUCAGGACAUGCUGGAGGCCAGCAUCAUCGCUUGGCUCUGCCGCUGUGGGCUAGAUGAGCAGGCCUUGGUUUGGGAGCUGCAGCCGUUGCUGCAGAGCCACACGGUGAGCUUUGUGCAGCAGCUCGUUGACACCAUGGUGGAGAUGUGCAGCGACGAGUUCCUCGAGGAACUGGGGCUCCUGGAACCCCCUCCUGCCAGCCAGCAGCAGAACGGCCCUGAAGUGGACCUCGAGGGCUCCCAAGACACCUGGGAGCCAGAAGACAGUCCUGCAGCCACCCACAGCCCUGCUGCCUUCCCCUGGGACACUCCUAUCACCAUCCUGCUCUCCUCCAGCAGCCCAGAGGGUUCUGACAUCGAGGAGCUCCCCAGCACCUCCAGUGCCACCCUGAGUGGGGGUCCUGGCCACGUGCCCACUGCACCUAUCCGCGGGGAGCAGGAGGAGCCUUUCACAGAGCCAGGACAGGCGGCAGCAGAAGAGGCCGCGGUGCAGGGCUGCAGCCACAGGCCCUCUCCUCCUGGCCGGGGCAGGGACAGCUCACCUGGGGGGCCCCGGCGACCCCCGAAGAGGAGGGCCGACAGCAACCCGGACUCUCCCCAGCCCUGCAAGAGGCCCCGGCGCCUUUAG
rnacentral:lncRNA from 1 species